rnacentral:lncRNA from 1 species
UAGUGAGUGAAAUUCUAGUUUACAUUGUGCUGCAGAUCAGACAAGGUGAUCCUACUUCAAAAAUCACUCUUGAAGAAGAAAGAAAAGAAAAAAAGAAAAGAGUGACUGCCCCGCCAUUGCCGUCGCUACAAGCAGUAGUGACAGUUUCGGAGCUGUUCUCGACCCCACUGGGUGUGAGGUGGUCUGCCUCCCUGAGCACAAAAUGCUGACAGCCCAAACCACUUGCUGUUAACAGUGGCUGAAGGAUGGAGUUUGCUCCGUGGGAGGCAAGAAUGGGAUUUAUUGCACCCAGCUUUACAAGUCUGCAUCUGAGCUUCUAAGCCAGGCUACAGCAGAAUCAAUGGAAAUAAGGAAAUAUUUGGAACAGAUUCAUCAUUUAGAUUGUGGUAAGACGUGGAGAAUCUGUUCUACUCAUUUCCUGAAUAGAUGCCAGCUGGGAUACUGCAUUCAGUUUUGGGCAUUGAACUCAAGAAUGAACCAAGAGAGUCCAAGGAAAAGCAACAACAAUGAACUAGGAGUUCAGAAAACAUGACCUGUAAAGAAGGACUUGAAAACCUCCCAGUUUCUUAGUCUAGAAUAAAAAAAAAAAAAAAAAAAAAGAGGACUGAAGGAGAAUGUAAUAAGUCUCCAAAUACCAUGUUUUUGCAAGAAGGAAAGUGAUAAACUAUCUUCUGGGUCCACUGGUUAUGGGAUAAGAAGUUAUCUACGUAGCCUUUAGCAAGGAAGUCUUAGGUUGGACUUUGGGAGAACUUUCUGAACAUAACAGCAGUGAAGCACCAGCACGCUUUGCUGAAAAAAACUGUAAAAUCUCUGUCAUGGGAGGUUUUUAGCAACAGAUUGAAAAAAAAAAUUGUUGGGAAUUAUUUACAUAUAGUUGAUUGUGCUGUGGGGAAAAGUUUAAAAAAAAAAAAAAAAAAAAAAAAGAGGACUGAAGGAGAAUGUAAUAAGUCUCCAAAUACCAUGUUUUUGCAAGAAGGAAAGUGAUAAACUAUCUUCUGGGUCCACUGGUUAUGGGAUAAGAAGUUAUCUACGUAGCCUUUAGCAAGGAAGUCUUAGGUUGGACUUUGGGAGAACUUUCUGAACAUAACAGCAGUGAAGCACCAGCACGCUUUGCUGAAAAAAACUGUAAAAUCUCUGUCAUGGGAGGUUUUUAGCAACAGAUUGAAAAAAAAAAUUGUUGGGAAUUAUUUACAUAUAGUUGAUUGUGCUGUGGGGAAAAAUGAAUUUUUAAUGUCCUUUCAGACUUACUUUCUUUUGUUUCUAUUUUUGUCCAAACUUUAGAAAAAUAUAUUUAGUCUUAGUGUGAUAAUUCAAUGAGAAGUCUUUAUAUGUAUGUUUUGUACAAAAGCCAGUUUACUAACAAUCUAAUACAAAUGUAAAUUUGCUCUGCCCUCCCCCCCAAACAAGUAGCCUUAAUUCUAAAUUAGAAAAAUUCUAAAGC